rnacentral:lncRNA from 1 species
AAACCCCAACCAAUGGCGACGAAACUCUCGCACCACCCACCAUCAUGACCAACAUCACUAGUACUCCAAAGAACCCAACCCCAAAACACAAAAUGAAAAACACGACAAUCGUGAACUAUACGCGGUGCAAUAGGGGAGACGAAGCGAUAAAUGUCAUCCAUCCACUACUACGACCAAUAUCACUGGAGAUCCAAAGAACCAAAUCAAAAAUAUAAAUGCAAAGAAUUGUGAGUAAGCAACGCAACGAGGGAGAAGAGAAAGCGAA